rnacentral:piRNA from 1 species
UGAGAACAGAACACAAAUCCCCGCCC